rnacentral:lncRNA from 1 species
CUUCUCCAAGCCCUGGGUGGGAAGAAGCUUCCUUCCCCUCCUCCUCCCCUUUCCGCCCUAGCACUUUCUCUCCUCCCUCUUCUGAUCCCACAGCUUCUCUCUCUCUGUCCUCUCCUCCAGUCCUUUCUAUCCCCCUUCUCCUCGUUCUCUGUUCUCUGCCUUUCCUCCUUUCUCCAUCACUCUUUCCUCAUCCCUUCAGACGCUCCCGACGUGUUCCCUCCAGACGCUCCUGAACUCCAGGCACAGGGCUGCAGCUCGGCUGAGUUCCCCUUGCGAGGAUCGGCAGCGCCACCUUCAGUAAUCACUCAUGGACACCCAGGCUGUGCCAAGUGGAGUUCCGGGACCAGGGGCGCAGAGAUGGAAAGACAGCGGAGGAAGUCCCCGCCCUGGGGAAUAUAAGGAACGGUGCCGGUGCUGGGGGACUGGAGGUUAACCAGCCUCUCAUGCCUCUGCCACUGAGCUUCUGUGUAGGAAGCCAUCUAGGCUAGAAAUAAGCACUCCCGGAGGAAGCAGCCUUUCUCCUCCUGCAUAGCACCGCUUCCUUUGGUGCCUCUCAAGCCUGCUGUCCCCUGGUACAGCAGGCUUCUUUUGUUUCAGUACUCUCCUCUAGUGCUGGAGACCCCCUCCUCAAAGCCGUCACAGGCACAGGAAUCAGAGAGCCCCCCAGCUCAGCCUCUUCUCCCAGACAGCCCUGGUGGAGGUGGUGCAAUUUGUCUGCCAUCCUCCCCCCAACCUACUGCCCUUUUCUUCCUUUCUGGAACUGAAUGAUGGAGAAGAUGAUGCAAGGACGCAGAGGCUCAAGAAGGAAAAGAACUCCUGUGCCCAAGUCCCCCCACCCCACCCCCACUCCACUCCUUGUAGCAGGUUCAAUGAAAGGUCCCUGUGUCUCAGACCUGUCAGGUUCUGCCAGGCCUGCUUCUCUGCAUGUACCCCUCCCCCUGCCCAGGAACGCCCUCCUC